CUUGGUUAAUGUUGACUUAACACAAUUGAUAACACAUUAAUUUAAAGCUGUAACUGACCAUGUGGCAUUGUUUUCUAGUUUUAACCCAGACCCGACAGUCCGCCACACUUUCUGGGGUCUAGUCGUGGGGUCAGCCUUGAACUGGGUGGGGUCGUACGGUGCCAGUCAAUCCAGUAUCCAACGCUACAGUGCUCUUAGAAGUCUGAAAGAUGCAAAAAAAGCCAUCCUGGUGAACUGUGUGGGUGUUUUUCUCCUGUUGACUGGGGCGAGUCUGAUGGGUGUGUCUGCCUUUGCCUACUACACACAGUUAGGUUGUGACCCUCUGACCAGUGGUCAGAUAAAGAACAAGAACCAGCUAAUUCCGCAUUUCGUCAUGGACAUCCUCAACAUACCGGGAAUGCCUGGUCUAUUUAUAGCAUGCCUGUUUAGCGGGACAUUGAGUUCCCUGUCAUCAAACCUAAGUUCAUUAAGUGCAAUCACAUGGGAGGAUAUUUUGAAACCUUUUUUCAAACUUCGUUCGGAGCAGACAAAGGCAAGAAUCACACGCUG